GACAGAGGUGCCGAGCGUUAGGCGGAAUCACUAGGCUUAAAGCGUGUGUAGGCGGACCGUUAAGUGUCUUGUGAAAUCCCCCGGCUCAACCGGGGAAUUGCUGGGCAUACUGGCGGUCUUGAGCAGUCUAGGGGCAGAUGGAACAGACGGUGGAGCGGUGAAAUGCGUAGAUAUCGUCUGGAACGCCAAAGGUGAAGACAGUCUGCUGGGGACUUGCUGACGCUGAGACACGAAAGCCAGGGGAGCGAACGGG
rnacentral:rRNA from 1 species